GUGUGGGACGUGUCCUAUUUUGUAUGUACCUUAUGAAUAAGGAUCGGCUAACUCCGUGCCAGCAGCCGCGGUAAUACGGAGGAUCCGAGCGUUAUCCGGAUUUAUUGGGUUUAAAGGGUGCGUAGGCGGCCUUUUAAGUCAGCGGUGAAAGUCUGUGGCUCAACCAUAGAAUUGCCGUUGAAACUGGGGGGCUUGAGUAUGUUUGAGGCAGGCGGAAUGCGUGGUGUAGCGGUGAAAUGCUUAGAUAUCACGCAGAACCCCGAUUGCGAAGGCAGCCUGCCAAGCCAUGACUGACGCUGAUGCACGAAAGCGUGGGGAUCAAACAGGAUUAGAUACCCUGGUAGUCCACGCAGUAAACGAUGAUCACUAGCUGUUUGCGAUACAGUGUAA
rnacentral:rRNA from 1 species